GCUUUACACAUGCAAGUCGUACGAGAGUUUUAACUCAAGUGGCGGACGGGUGAGUAACACGUAAGAAUUUGCCUUUAGGAGGGGGAUAACAACUGGAAACGGUUGCUAAUACCCCAUAUGCUUUCGAGUAAAACGGAUUUUCCGCCUAAAGAGAAGCUUGCGGCUGAUUAGCUUGUUGGUGAGGUAAUGGCUCACCAAGGCGACGAUCAGUAUCUGGUUUGAGAGGAUGAUCAGACACACUGGAACUGAGACACGGUCCAGACUCCUACGGGAGGCAGCAGUGGGGAAUUUUCCGCAAUGGGCGAAAGCCUGACGGAGCAAUACCGCGUGAGGGAUGACGGCCUAUGGGUUGUAAACCUCUUUUUUCAGGGAGGAAUCAAUGACGUGUACCUGAAGAAUAAGCAUCGGCUAACUCCGUGCNAGCAGCCGGCGUAAGACGGAGGAUGCAAGUGUUA
rnacentral:rRNA from 1 species